ACCCACCAUUCCCUGUGCCUGCUGACAGUCUCCACCCUCAAGUGCUCAGGGUCUCCCCUUGGUUCCAAGAUAUCUUUGUUUUUCCCUCCUUCUCUGUCAGCAGGUUGGGCCCUUGGAAGCAACAGAGCGGGCGGUGGAGGGGAAGCCACCAGGCCCUGUGGGUGCACCAAGGAGGGGGUGAAGCCCAAUUAGGAAGGCUAGGGAAGAGCUGAGGAUUUAGGGAUUCCUGUGUAUUCAUAUUUCUUACCAUGCCUCAGAUUGAACAAGUAACACCCACAGUUAAUCCUUUCUAAAUUAGCAUCAUGGAUGCCUUGGGGCCCUCAACCCACAAAUAAAAUGGUUGUCAACCAAGCUGUACAAGAGACACACUACUGUAGAUUACUUAAGGCAGAAUUUUAAAGAGUUUUCAUGCUUUUAAUCUGUUUCACUGCUGAGUUUCAAUUUUGCUGAUAUCCUUUGCAAGUCUGAUGCGGGUGACUGUGGUAAAUAGAGAUUUUGACAGUGACUUGGGCAAAUAGGAUGUGUAGGGACCAUUCUGAAGGCUUCUGUCCCUUCCAGAGAAAAGGGGGAAAAAAUCAAUUUGGGUUUUAAACAGAGCCACCAAGUAGCACCGAUCAGUGUUCAUAAUUAGCCUCACUAUCAUAAGCCAUGAAGUCCUGUUUUUAUUUAUUUAUUUGGGGGACAGAGAAUCUUCCUGCCUCUUGAGUAAGUAUGGCCUGUUAAGUCUGAAUUAGCUGUCAUCAUAGAAGAAUUAAUGUCGGAGUGCAGACUU
rnacentral:lncRNA from 1 species